rnacentral:rRNA from 1 species
GACGAACGCUGGCGGCGUGCUUAACACAUGCAAGUCGAACGGAAAGGCCCCGCCUUUGUGGGGUGCUCGAGUGGCGAACGGGUGAGUAACACGUGAGUAACCUGCCCUUGACUUUGGGAUAACUCCAGGAAACUGGGGCUAAUACCGGAUAGGAGCACGUGCUGGAUGGCGGGGGUGGGAAAGUUUCGGCGGUUGGGGAUGGACUCGCGGCUUAUCAGCUUGUUGGUGGGGUAGUGGCUUACCAAGGCGUUGACGGGUAGCCGGCCUGAGAGGGUGACCGGCCACAUUGGGACUGAGAUACGGCCCAGACUCCUACGGGAGGCAGCAGUGGGGAAUAUUGCACAAUGGGCGGAAGCCUGAUGCAGCAACGCCGCGUGCGGGAUGACGGCCUUCGGGUUGUAAACCGCUUUCGCCAGUGACGAAGCGUAAGUGACGGUAAUGGGUAAAGAAGCACCGGCUAACUACGUG